CAAGUCAAAUUACCUCAACGAGCUUCAGUUUUCUCCCCUGUAAAAUGAGAGGGUUGGACCUAGAUGAUCUCUAAGGUAUCUUCGAACUCGUAACAUUCUAUGUUCUAAGUUCCCUUUCAAUUCUAACACUGCACGUUUUAAGGUUCCUUCUGGCUCCUACAUUCUAAGCUUUAUGUUUUAAGCUCCAAGCAUCCAAGGAGAGCAUUCUAUACAAAAUUAAAUCAGAGAGAGUGGUGGCAACGGCAAUUCUGAUCUUGGCCCACUAAGUCUCUUCCAAAGCUCAGCUCUCUUCUUAAUCUAUCUCCUUACUCCCACAUGAGAUUUCAGUCUCCUUUCGUUGGAAGAAGAAGAACCCUUAAGUCUAGGAUAUGAGAUGCCAGCAGGCACUCGUUGCUUGUCCUCAAAUGUUACCAUCUGACUUUCAGGCAUCACCAGGAUAUAUCUCAAGCUCCUGACUCUUCUGUGUGUGCGAAGACUUCCCAAAUAUCUCUAACCCACAUAAGGCAUUGUGGCAGAGUGGAAAAAUCCAUGGAUUUGGAGUAAGAAGGCCAAGAUUCAAAAUCCUGACUUGCCACUUUUGACCUGUGUGAGCUUAGGCAAGUUCCUUCCUUUCUCUUUAUUAUCUAGAAAUUGAGUUGGACUAGAUACUAAUAAUACUAAUAACAGCCAAGAUUUAUACAGCACUCACUACGUGCUAGGUACUAUGCUAAAUGUUUUACAAUUAUUAUCUCAUUUGAUUCUCACAAAAACCCUGGGGAGUAGAUGUUAUCAUCCCCAUUUUACAGAUGAAGAAAUGGAUGCAAAUAGAGGUUAAGUGACUUGCCCAGGGUCACCCAGUUAGUAUCUGGGGCUUGAUUUGAAAUCAGGUCACCCUAAUAUAUGCAUAACCCAGUGGAACUGCUUGUCAACUCUAGGAGGGGGGGAAUAAAGAGGGGAGGGAGACAACAUGAAUCAUGGAAAAAAUUUUAAAAGAAAAUCAAAAAUUAAAAAAGAAACAAGAAACAAGGAAAGUAAUCAGGUCACCUUGACUCCAAACUCAGCUCCCUUUCCAUUGUGCUGCCCAGCUACCAUAGAUGAACCCCUCCAGGUCCAAUGUUAUAUUACUAAUCGUUCUUUCUAAGAGGCUAAGGGAUGCGGAGUGCUAGACCUAGAAUCAGACAGACCCAAAGAAUGAGAUCACAAUGGAGCCUUGAAAAAAACAAGGUGUUGAUUUCUGAAAUUCACUUUUCUGAAGAUUCUCUAUUAGCUCUACUCUGAAGGGCCCGCAAAGAAAUCAGACACUGCAUGAGGUUCCCUAUAGAAAGGCACAGGGCCUUGGGCAUCAGAAGGCCUGGGUUUAAGUGCAGUUUUGUCCAUUGUUACCUAUCUGGCAUUAAGCAAGUCACUUUCCCUAAUGACAACAAUGACCAUAUCUACAAGGCCUACAAGGUUUGUUUCUUCAUAGUAAUGCAUGAUGUAGGAAGCAAGGAUACCAUCCCCCUUUGACCAAGGCUCUUUGGGGAUGAACUUUCCUCUCUGUCCACUGUGCCACCUGGCUGCCAGGAGAAGCCCUUGGAAUCUGAAAAGGAUUAUGGGUAUAUCCGACACUGAUUUGGCAUGAGGAUGAAGAGAUAGUCACUUGCUGACAGAUGGGAAUCUUUGACUAGAACCAUAUCUCUGUGGCACCAUGGAUCCUACUCUUUCCCAUUUCCAUUGAUACACUAAGUUCCUUUCUUUGAAAUCUUGGGGCUACCUUCCUGGGUCCAGCUUUUGGAAUCCAGAGCAAAGCUUGGGUGCCACUUCCUCCAAGAAAUCUUUCCUAAUUCUCUCUCCCUUCUCAAACUGCACACAAUCUCUUCCAAUUACAAGUACUUUGUGUUGCUUGGAUUUUAUUUGUGUCCAUGUUUUAUCUGUACCUCCACCCCCUACCAAGAGAAUGUAGGCUCCACCAAGGGAGGGAUGGUUUCAUUUUCUAUCUCUGAAUAUACAUAUUAUAAUCCAUCCACAAGGGUUUAUUCAGUUAUCUGAACGGAAGCAUACACUUGGCUCACAGACACAAUUCCUUCUUUUAUACCUCUUUUCUCAGGUUUGAAAAUCUUCAGGUGAUGGCAGUAUCUGAGCCAUGGAAUGCCACAGCCAGAAAAAACCAGAGAUCAGUUAGUCCAACCCCCUCACUUUACAGAGGAAGCUUUUAAUUAACACGAGAUAACAUGGAAUUAACUUCUUUUAUUUUGGCAGCCAACACUGUGAUGUCAGAGCUAAAAGAGCUAAAGUGAGCCUCAGAGGCUGCAAAGGAGAGAAGACUAGCACCCACCCACAGGCCAGGAGGUGAUGGGCUCACUCCUCUGCCAUGGCCAGAUCCUAUCCUAGAGCUCUAGAUCUGAAUCCAAUUCUAGGGUGACAUUUUUGAGGAAAGGCUGACCCACAAAAAUAGGAAAACCAGGCAUCCACAUCACAUUCUGACAUCAAAUUUAAGGAUUGGACCGCCCCAAGAUAUUUGUGUAGUACCAAGAUCCUGAAUUUCUGUGAUUCUACACUGAGACAAAGAGAAAAAGUCCCAAAUGUCAUACCCAUGAGUGAAUGGCAGAGCCUAGUCUAGACUUCAGGACUCCAGGCUCCCUGGCCAAUAGAAUUGGGGCUGCCACAGCUGAAAGCCCUAGAGGUCUCAAAAGGAAGGCUAAAGAGGAGCUGCUGAUAUUGAGCACAUGAAGAGUUUAAUGGUGGAUAAGAGCUACUGUGGUUAUAAAUCCCCCAGGAUGCCAUCCAUCAUGCUCCAUGGUUUCACAUGCCCAGUGCUGCUAAUUUCAAGCACAUUUUGCAGAACUGUGAUUACCCAUUUCCCAAGAGAAGAUGAGAAUGACUCAUUUCAGCCUAAAACUAAAUAGUGUUGGCAGUACUUAAGAGAACAUUGGUGGAAGGAAGGCUGGAGACCCAUGGGAGAGGGCAGGGCAGGUAUAAAUGAAAAGUCCUUCCAGCUUUAUCUCCUACCAUUUCCCUACAAAUACUCUUCAUCACAGCAGCCAAACUCAAGUCCAUGACCAUUGGAAGGGGAAGAGGCCUGAGAGAUCCUUCUAGGUCAGUUCUCUGACAUUUACAGAUGAGAAAAACGAAAGCCAGUGGAUGGGAUGGGCUUGCUCAAGACCACACAGAAGACACAGCUCAACCACUCCAGGAUAAUGGGUCAGCCUACACAAUAUAGCCCAAAGCUGUACUCUCCCUCCUUGGAUCAACAGCCUCAGAGUGGGAAAGAAACUGGUGCCCUCCCCAGGAAUAUUGGCAAGGUUGCUACUCCCGGGCUCCACAGAUCAACUGCUCCCCUCUCUGAUUAUGGGGAUACUAGGAUUGGCCAAGCAUGUCCUUGGUCAAAUAGGGUCUGUAGAGCCAGAGCUGAGAAUCCUAGGAACCUUCCUAAAGAAGCAUAGCCUGUCUGGGGGCACCUUCCAUGGAAUAGGAGCUGGUGGUGGCUCCAUCAUCCCAGGUUUCAUUUGCUAGCUGCCUAAUCAAAACCUAGCCUCUUCCCAUCUCUCAGAAUCUCAAUUUCAUUAUCAACAAAAUGGGGAAAACAUUUGCGCUAAUAACUUGCCAGGGUCAUUGUGAGGAAAGUACUUGGUUAAACCUUCAAACUAUAUAGAAAUAUGAGUUGUUAUUAACCUACCAUCUGUGCAUUUUUCUUUGACCUGGAAGAGCCUGAACCAGCCCAGCUCACCACAGGGAAUGUCAUUAAGCAUGGACUUCCCAAUUAUAUUUAUCAAAGCACAGUCAGUUGGCCAUCAUAUUUGUCCCUGCAGCAAGAGCCCAUUUAGGGCUGGGUUUUUUCCCAGAGAAGCUGGCAUCUCAAAGGCACCUUAGAGAAAACAGAACAAGAUCUACUCAAGAAAGGAGAGUCCCAAGGAGAUAAUGAAUGAGCUCUCGAGUGGAUCCCUUCCAACUCUAAGCCACCAUAGUUCCCUGGUACACUUAGCAAUGAGUUAAGAAAGAAUGUCACAAGGGAAGAGAACUGAUAUAAGGCUCAACUUCUUCUUUAGUUAAGAUCUGUGUGACUUUUGUGUGCAUUAUUUUACCACUCUUCUGCCUCAGUUUCCUUGUCUGUCAUAUGG